rnacentral:lncRNA from 1 species
UGGGGGCGCAGUCACGCCGGGGCCGACCGGCCGCGAACGCCCGCGGGGAGCGGGAGAGGGUUUGCUCUGGCUACGGAGCUGGGAGCAGGGUGCUGGUGACGGGGCUCCCAGCACCUACUCAGUACCCUUCACCCAACCCCUGCCUCGGGCGUGGACUCCCGGCGGAGGCUCUGGGAGCCGGGCUGAGGGCUUGAGCCUAGCGUAUCUGGGAGAACUGGAGAGAGGAGUCUCAGAUGGCUAAAGUCAGGGGCGCCAGUUGGAGAGCCGGUGGCUCCUCCGAUACUCACACGCCCGGAUUUAACCAGUUCAGGGAGGGCCCAGAACCUAGACCUCCACCAGUCAUGGUGGGCUGUGUCUCCCACCUCCCCAGGGCAACCCAGAUCCAGCCCCCAACCUACCCCGGGCCCAUUCCUGUGUGGGCACCCGGACCCUACCCUUGCCCCACAGAGUGGCCCGCAGCCCCUGGCGGGGAGAGCAAGGGCUGUGAUUGGGGCCCAACAGAAACAGGAUAUUCAGAAGGGGCUUUCCCUCCUGAGGGACCACAUCUCCAAGCUUCAGACUUCCAGACAAGUCCCAGGGCACGGACGUGACCCAUUACGAACAGGCAGUGAAGCUGUGGCAGGGCUGGAGCUGCCCCAGGCUCUGGCAUCAUCCCCGAGGGCUGGAGCUCACUCCCCGCUAGAGGCUUUUCCGGACCCCACGUCCACAGGCAGGUGCAUCUGGUGAAGCUUUCGGCCACAGUUGGAGUGCAGUGGUGCCAUCUCCCUUCACGACGAACUCCACCCCCCAUCCCCAGGAUCAAGCGAUCCUCCCACCUCAGCCUCCCAGAGCUGGGACCACAGAUGCGUGCCACCACGCC